GUGUUUUUCUAGUUUGUUGAAAAGUUGGAAACAUUUCAAACACGCAUUGGACUUUCAUGCAUUUAGACACUAGAAAUGGACAUUAAAUAACAAUUUUAAUGGGGAAAUUUAAGCAGCAUACCCAGUACGGCUUGUUGAGUUGGUUAUGCUGCUAGUAGGUUUAAAAAGCUGUUCCCUUAGUUCUGGGUCAGACAAUUUUUUGGUGGUUUGACCAAUUUCAGGGUUCCUGAUCGCCUUGUCACCAAGCUUAAGUUCACCAUAGUGCUAAUGGGAAAGUGCCACUUCUGCAUUAGCACUAUCAAUUUUGUUUUUCUUUGAUUUUCAUUGAUAUACUAAGCACAUCAGUUGAUGUUUCAGUAUAUUGCUGGCAUCCAAAUAUGGAUUCAAUUAAUAUUGUUAAGUGGCACUUAUACAUUAG